CCUACGGGAGGCUGCAGUGAGGAAUAUUGGUCAAUGGGCGCAAGCCUGAACCAGCCAAGUCGCGUGAGGGAUGACGGUCCUAUGGAUUGUAAACCUCUGUUGUCGGGGAGCAAGGCCCGCCACGUGUGGCGGGAAGGAGAGUACCCGAAGAAAAAGCAUCGGCUAACUCCGUGCCAGCAGCCGCGGUACUACGGAGGCUGCGAGCGUGAUCCGGAUUUAAUGGGGUGAAAGGGUGAGUAGGCGGACGGUUAAGGCAGCGUUCAAAUGUCGGGGCUCAACCCCGGCCUGCCGUUGAAACUGGUCUUCUUGAGUGAGCGAUAAGUAUGCGGAAUGCGUGGUGUAGCGGU
rnacentral:rRNA from 1 species